UCUGGCGGUGAUGGCGAGAAGGUCACACCCGUUCCCAUGCCGAACACGGAAGUUAAGCUUCUCAGCGCCGAUGGUAGUUGGGGGUUUCCCCCUGUGAGAGUAGGACGCUGCCAGGC
rfam:Bacillus sp. SA2-6 scf7180000001096, whole genome shotgun sequence.